CCUGAGCUGAAGUCGGAGGCUUAACCGACUGAGCCACCCAGGCAUUGGUUCAUUUACCUGGGUUGUUGAAUUUCUGUGUGUAGAGUUAUCAGGACAUUCCCUCCUCCUGCUGGUACCUCAUGGAGGGAAGAUCACACAAUAUUUAUGGUCUUCUUGGUUUGGGGCUGCCUUGAGCCUAGGCCCGAACACAGCCGAGGAAAAAUGGGAAACUCAUCACUCGUUUGGAGUCGAAGAGUCAGGAUGGAUGUGCUCAUUCUGUCUUGCCUGGAACUAAACCUCUUCCCUUCGACAUGAUUGUUUUAUCACAGCUUGUUGAGAAAACUGCAGGAUGGAAAAUGUUUGCCAGAAAACACGUUAUGGGGCCACCUGGGUGGCUCCAUCGGUGGAGACACGAACUCUGGAUUUUGGCUCAGAUCCCGGCUGUGGCUCCUCCAUUGGACUCAGGAAAGUCUCAAGUUCCAAACCUUUGGUGUUCAAGAACCUCAUGGUCCAACACGGCUCACCUCACCAGAAUCCUCUCUUGCUACCUCCCCCCUUCCCAGACUUCUGCCUUGCCAGAGGAUAUACAAUCCAGAGUGCCUAUGAAUUCUCUGGAAUGCUUAUUUAAAAUACAAAGUCCUAGGCUCCAGAUUCUGAGGUAGUAGAUAAGCCUCAGGGCUCUGGAAGCUGCAUUGCAACAAG